rnacentral:rRNA from 1 species
GAUGAACGCUAGCGGCAUGCCUAAUACAUGCAAGUCGGACGGGAUUGAGGAGCUUGCUUCUCAUGAGAGUGGCGCACGGGUGCGUAACACGUAUGUAACCUCCCUUGUUCAGGGUGAUAGCCUCUCGAAAGAGAGAUUAAGACCGCAUAACGUAGUGAUGUGGCACCAUAUUACUACCAAAUAUUUAUAGGAACAAGAUGGGCAUGCGGAACAUUAGCUAGUUGGUAAGGUAACGGAUUACCAAGGCUACGAUGUUGAGGGGAACUGAGAGGAUUAACCCCCAGACUGGUACGGGGACACGGACCAGACUCCGACGGGAGGGAGCAGUAAGGAAUAUUGGUCAAUGGACGGAAGUCUGAACCAGCCAUGCCGCGUGAAGGAAGACGGCCCUACGGGUUGUAAACUGCUUUUAUACGGGAAUAAACCUACUUACGUGUAAGUAGCUGAAUGUACUGUAAGAAUAAGGAUCGGCUAACUCCGGGCCAGCCGCCGCAGUAAUAC